UCAAACUUGGUCAUUUAGAGGAAGUAAAAGUCGUAACAGGGUCUCCGUUGGUGAACCAGCGGAGGGAUCAUUAUAGAGGGCUAAACCCCUAAAAACCAUGCGAACUUACCUGUCCUGUUGCUUCGGCGGGCAGCCCCUGGGAGGGGCCGUAGCCUGAAGGCGCCCGCCGGAGGUCUUUACACUCUUGUUGUCAACCUACCAUCUGAGCACAUACAAACAAAUCAAAACUUUCAACAACGGAUCUCUUGGUUUGGGCAUCGAUGAAGAACGCAGC
rnacentral:misc_RNA from 1 species